GGAAUGGGGAGCUGUUGAUCAAAGGGUACAAAGUUUCACAUAAAGAGGAAGAAUAGAUUUUUGAGAUCUAUUGCACAGCAGGGUGACUAUAGCCAAUAAUAAUGUAUUUAUGUCUCAAAAUAACUAAGAACAAAUUUGAAAUAUCUCAUCAUAAAAAAUAAUGGGUAAUCAAGGGGAUGAAUAUGUUAAUUAGUUUGGUUUAAUCAUUCCACAUUGUAUUCAUGUAGCAAAACAUCACAUUGUAUCCCAUAAAUGUAUAUAAUUGCAAUUUGUCCAUCAAAAAUAAUAUUAAUAAUUUAAAAUUUUUAUUUCUUUGUCUUGACUUUAUCCUUCUAAGUAGGAAUUGUACGUAUGUCAUAGCUAAUAUUAUUUUUUCUUAUUCUUAAAAAUAUGUCUGCAAUUUCUCUGUUAAGUAUGAUGUUUGUUAUAAAGUUUUGGUAAUUAGCCUUUAACAAUUUCUUUUUUCAUAAUUAGGCUUUUCAUUUUUGUCCACUUUUUCUUGGGCCAAUUCUGGUAAUUUAUAUUGACAAUUUAUUAUUAUAUGUAUAAUCAUGUAACAUGUGUUAUAUAUGACAACUUAGAACUUCAUAUAAAACCAGUUAUGUAACUUGUUUCAAAUUCAUUGUGUACUUUUGUGGAUAUACAUAUAUACUGCUAUAUAUCCUGGUUGCCUGUUUCUUUUAGGACACCUCUGCUAGUGGUGUACAGAACUUUCACUCUUUUGUGUUAGAGAAUUAUGCGCUUAUUAAUACAUUUUGUAUUUUUUUGUUUUUAUUUUAUUCUUAUUUCGAUAGCUUUUGGGGUACAAGUGGUUUUUGGUUACAUGGAUUAAAUACAUAGUGGUGAAUUCUGAAAUUUUAGUGCACUCCUCACCUGAGUUGUGUACAUUGUACCCAAUAUGUAGUUUUUUGUCCCUCACCCCUCUUCCACCCUCUCCCUCUUCCACCCUCCCCAUUCUGAGUCUCCAAAGUCCAUUAUAUCACUCUAUUUGCCUUUGUGUACUUAUAGCUUUGCUUCCACUUAUAAGUGAGAACAUACAGUGUUUGGUUUUUCAUUCCUGAGUUACUUCACCUAGAAUAAUGGCCUCCACCUCCAUCCAAGUUGCUGCAGAAGACAUUAUUUCAUUCCUUUUACGGCUGAGUAGUAUUCCAUGGUGUGUAUAUACCACAUUUUCUUUAUCCACUCAUUGGUUGAUGGACACUUAGAUUGGUUCUAUAUCUUUGCAAUUGUGAAUUGGGUUGUGAUAGACAUAUUUGUUCAUGUGUCUUUUUCAUAUCAUGAUUUCUUUUCCUUUGGGUAGAUACCCAGUAGUGGGAUUUCUGGAUCAAAUGGUUAGAUCUACUUUUAGUUUUUUAAGGAAUUUCCAUACUGUUUUCCAUAGAUGUUGCGCUAAUUUACAUUCCCACCAGCAGUGUAUAAACAUUCUGCUUUCACCAGAUCCAGGUCAACAUCUAUUGUUUUCUGACUUUUUAAUUAUGGCCAUUCUUGCAAGGACUAAGGUGGUAUCUUUUCCUUUGGGUAGAUGCCCCGUAGUACAAUUGCCAGAUUGAAGGAUAGAUCUACUUUUAGUUUUUUAAGAAAUCUCCAUACUGUUUUCCAUAGAGGUUGUAAUUCUUCUUUUCUGAUUUGGAUGCCCUUUAUUUAUUUCUCUGGCCUGAUGGCUCUGGCCAGGACUUCCAGUCCUAUGUUGAAUAGAAGGGGUGAAAGUGGGCAUCCUAGGCUUGUUUCAGUUCUCAGGGGAAACGCUUUCAACUUUUCCCCAUUUAGUAUGAUGUUGCCUGUGGGUUUGUCAUAUAUGGCUUUUAUUAACUUGAGGUAAUUACCUUCUACACCUAGUUUGUUGAGGUUUUUAUCAUAAAGCAAUGCUAAAUUUUAUCGAAUGCUUUUUCUACAUCUAUUGAGAUGAUCACAUGGUUUUGUUUUUAAUUCUGGUUAUGUAGUGUAUCACACUUAUUGAUUUGCAUACGUUAGACCAUCCCUGCCUCCCUGGGGUGAAACCCGCUUGAUCAUGGUGUAUUAUCUUUUUGAUGUGCUGCUGUAUUUGGUUAGCAAAUACUUUGUUGAGGAUUUUUGCAUCUAUGUUCAUUGGGGAUAUUGGUCUGUAGUUUUCUUUUUUUGUUAUGUCCUUUCCUGGUUUGGGGAUUAGGGUGAUACUGGCUUCAUUCUCUUAUUUCUAUGUGACUGGUAUGCAGAGAUGAGGGUUUCACCAUUUGUACGAAUUUGCAGUUUUAAUGUGAAAUAUGUUUUUUAGCUAUUUGAUAUUUUUCUUUCUUAAUAAAUUGUAUGAGUACACACACACCUAUUUUGAUGCUGUGUGCAUUUAAAACCUCAUGUACUUUGUCACUUUAGCUUUAUAUUUCAGACUCACUUACUAUAUUGUCUUGACUUACUUCUGCCCACCACAUUGCUUACUGUGUAGGCUCGAGAGGUGAAUGCCAGGGAUGAGGUAAAAUUUUGGUCAUAUAUGUGACUGAUUUUUUACGAAGAUGAAAUUAAAAUUAUUUCUUUAGGGCCAUGUAAUAUCACCCAAAUCAUGUUGGUCAAAGAGUACAAACUUUCACUUACAAGAUGAGUAAGUUCUUGGAAUCUAAUAUGCAGCGUGAUGACAAUAGUUAAUAAUACUGUACAGAUGUUCCUUGACUUGCAAUGGAGUUACAUCCCAACAGACUCAACGUAAGCUGAAAAUAUUGUAACUCAGGGGUGUCCCAUCUUUUGGCUUCCCUGAGCCAUGCUGGAAGGAUUGUCUUGGGUCACACAUAAAAUACACUAGCACUAACGAAAGCUGAUGAGCUAAAAAAAAAAAUCACAAAAAAAUCUAAUAAUGUUUUAAGAAGAUUCACAAAUUUGUGUUGGGCCUCAUUCAAAGUCAUACUGGGCCGCAUGUUGCCCGUGGGCCAUGGUUUUCACAAGCUUGUUGUAACUUAAAAAUGUAUUUAAUACACCUAGGCUACAGAAUAUCAUAGCUUAGCCUAGCCUACUUUAAAUACGCCCAGAACACUUAUAUUAGUGUACUUUGGCAAAAUCACCUAACACAAAGUCUAUUUGAUAAUAAAGUGCUGAAUAUCUCAUGUAAUUUUUGAAUACUAUACCGAAAGUGAAAAAUGGAAUGGUUAUAUGAGUACUUAAAAUGCAGUUUCUACUGACUGACUUUUACACCAUCUUAAAAUUGAAAAAUUUUAAGUAGAGAACUGUCUGUAUUGCAUCCUUGAAAUCUGCUAAAAGAGCAGGUCUUAAAAGUUCUCACUACACGCCCAGGUAACUAUGUGAAGUGAUGGAGGUGUUGACUAACUUGAUAUCACUGCCCAAUAUUUACACAUAUCAAAGCUUUGUAACUCAAUUGCAGAUUCAGUCACUCGAUGCUUGCCGAGUCCAGUUUGCAAGAGUGAGGUGUGUUACAAAGAAAGUGACUUUUUAAUUGAAAGCUUAGCUUAUGGAAAGAAGUCCAGGCUCUUGCCUUUAAAGGCACUGCUUCAAUUUUGGGGCAGAAAGCCAGAGCUUUUAAAGGGAAACUUGGCGUGAAUGACAGGCAGGGAAGGAGCAGUUGGGGGUCUAGGUGACUUGCUUUGUUGCCUUAUCUACGCAGUGGUUGAGCUAGUGCUAGAUUGUAAGGUGGCUGUGGUCUGGAGAUACUCUCCAGAUGGGAGAGAGUUUCCUGUGGGCAAACUUUAGGUUGUAAAUUGACUCUUGUCUCUAGAGGCAAUCUUCUGGUGGGAGAGAUUUCGGCUCUGGGGCUUCUAGGUAUGCACACACUUAGAUGAACUUGUCCUGUAGGGAGUGUCUGUUGAAGGGAAGGUAGAGGUUCUAAUUGCAUUUCUAAAGAGUUAAGUAGGAAGUGGGGAACAGGGGCAGAGGAGGAAAGAGAAAAAAAGAAAAAUAAUAAUUUAAAAAAUAACUCAUUCUCUUUCUCUUAGGGAAAUGGCAGUACUGGAUUACAGCAUCCCAUUGUACACAAAACUUGUCUAACCCACUGCCCAUGAGCUGCAUGAAGCCCAGGAAGGCUUUGAAUGUGGCUGAACACAUUCAAAGAAAGUUUGUAAACUUUCUUUAAACAUUAUGAGAUUAUUUUGCAGUUUUUGUUUUAAGCUCAUCAGCUGUCAUUAGUGUUAGUGUAUUUUAUGUGUGGUCCAAAACAAUUCUUCCUAUGUUGCCCAGGGAAGCCAGAAGAUUGGACACCCUUGUUGUACACCUUAAAUACAGUUUUGUGUUUCAAUUUUCCCUCAGUUAAGCUGUGAAAAAAUGGCCAUACCCAAAAAUGACACAUAAAAUAGCUGUGUCAAAUUUCUAUUUUAAUCUUGAAUAUCUUUCUUUUACAAUAAAUAAACUUCUCUCACAUGAUUUUUUAAUGUUUCAGAGUGUUUCAUUUUAUGGAUAUUUCAGAACUCAAUAAGUUCCUAUUUAUUUAUUUAUUUAUUUAUUUAUUUGGAUACUGUGGUAGCAUCUAAUUUUUGCUAAAUCUUGGUGCACAUUCUUAAAUUUCAAAGCUGGACUUACUGAGUCUAGUGGGUCUUAAGACAUAUUGUUAUCUGCCUCUCAGGAAGGUUUUGACUCACUUCAAAUGAAGUCAAAGAUCUUCUCCAUGUAUUUAACAUUCAAAUAUUUUGUAUGUGUGAUUGUUCUCUUUGCUUAUUUUUUGAGUUUUCACUGAGUUAGAACAAUUCCUUGGUUUACUAUAAAAAGAGAAAAAUUUCAUUAUGAGCCAAAUGGAUUUUGAGAAAUAUAUUCUGAGUUUUCUCUUUAACAGAGGUUUUUGUUUUGUUUUUGCCUAGAGCAUAGGGUUAACUGGACUAAUUUACACUUUUCCAUUAGCUUUAUCUUAUUCAGGAUAAUAUGAGCCAGUUUUCUUAACCCUAAUAGGGCAUAUUUCUGUUUUUUCUUAACUCGUUCUUUUUCUAGUGUAUUGCUAAGUUUUCUCAUUUAGUUCUUGCCUUAAAAAUGACGUUGUCUAACAUUAUAAUUGUAAAAUACUGGAAAAAGUUUUUGUCAUUCUUGCUGCAGGCAGUCAACAACUCAAGGUGACCCCUGGGUUAGCUGGAAAUACAUCUUGAUUGGUACAGACUCCGGUUUCUAAGUGAAUAAGCAGAGAACACACUGAGUGCCUGACGAUGUGACGUGCUAUCAUGUCACAUGAAACUAUCAGAACUUGCCAGGGUUCCAGAUCCCGCACUAGAAAUUCCUCCCAGAUGAGGGCUUUUUUUUUUUUUCCUCCUAUGAGAAAUAAACCAGAAGAAAGGAGAAGAUGGACCUUUGUAAUUUAAUUUCAUGAUUUUAAGGACCAAAUCUCAGCUUUAUUUCUCUAGAAUAGGAAAUACAGAUAUCGUUGUCAUCUUAUGUUUUUUCUCACUUGAUCUGAUCUAUGAUCUGUUGAAACUUGACCAUCUGUUCUUGCAAGUGAGGUUUUGUUGCUACAUUUCUGAACUUCAAAAUUAGAAAAAUAAUAUCCUGAAGUUUCUAAUACUUACAGUUGAGCAGACUUUAUAUUCUGUUUACACUUACCAUUUUACAUAAAUCUUUAUGCCUUUUAUUUAGAAGACAAGAUAAAAAUUAAAAGAGAAAAAAUAUCCCACAUAUACAUAAUACCUCUCUAUGGACUAUUCUUUUGUGGGAUAAGGUAGGUGGGAGAACGGGAGAGUAGCAGACCCAUUAGAAUAGAAAACGUGUCAGUAACUAUUAUUUUUAAAUUGGGGCCACUUGGACACCAAGAUAUUAUUGCCUUUUUAAGAGAUGUGUGUUCUAGAGAACUGAUUUCCUUAAAUAACUCAUUUCUGUUUCCAAGUCUCUACUCACAAAUGUACUAAUGUCCUAAAGGGCAUGAAGGAGAUAUAUAUAUAUAUACAUGUAGAACAGUGAUACAGUAAAUACAAACAGUAAUAUAGUAAAUCACUGUUCUUCAAAAUAUAUAUAAACAGAGAUAUAGUAAAUCACUGUUCUUUUAUAAACUGGGUCCCUAUUCUAUUUUUUAUCCCUAUAAUAAUAUAUUUUAUAAUUUCUGUUUAGAAUAUUGGCAGAUAAUAGAACUUGAUUGCCUGAUUUUCAAUUUAAACACCUAUCAAUCAAAUACGUAAGUACUUGUACAGUGUGGAGAAAAGUUAACACUUUAUAUUAUCUACGUAUCUCUGAAAGACAAGAAAGUUUCUGUACAUUUACAGACUACAAAUACAGAAGUUAAAACAAAUGCCUUCUAGCUGGCAUAAUCUUAGGAAAAAAGCAGACUAAAGUAUUAUAAAUUGGUAGCAGAAGAUGUGUAAAGUAAAGACAUGAUCACCUAGAUAAUAUAAAUCAAUUUUCUAUUCUUGUCCUGAAGCCUAGACCCCACACGGCAGCCUGAUGUAAUUCCAUUACCAUGCUUAAUUACUUGGCACUUGUAUAGCCUUUUUAUUUUUGUGUUACUGUUAUUCCUGGUAAAUCAUUCAGAAGAAAUAAAUUAGCUUGCCACUCAAAAUUAACUAGUAUGGUGCAUUGCUGCCCCACCCCCCAAAAGAUGAGUUGACCACUACUGGGCAUUAAUCUAGCCAUUUUUUUGAUAACAGAAUAUCUCUUUGCACAUAGUUAUGAGUUAUAAACAUUCCAAAUGUAAUUAUCUCAGUCCUUUACAACGUGAAAGUCUAAUUAAAGAAAGUUUAAGACACUAUAAAUCUUAAGGAAUUAGGUUUAUAAUGUGGAACCCAGUCAGAGUUUGGGAUUACAUUGGAAAGUGAGUAUAUUGAAAAGGAUUGCAGAAACAUUUCUCUCAGCCAGAAUUUAAUUGCUCAGAAAACUGAAUUUCAGUAAAAUAGAUGAAAAGUGGUAGGCAGAGAGACUCAGACCUAUGACUGCUGAAGAAAGAGCUAAUUCCAUAUCCCUUUUUCUAGAUGCCCUGGAAUACACUUGUGUCAGUGACAAAUGCUGCUUUGCUGUGCUACACCCAGUACAAGGUAGUGAUAAGACAUGACUGGGAAGCAGUUACCAGAGACAAGCAAGGAUAGGGCUUUGACUGCAUCCUCUGCUGGUGGCUUCUGUAGUUAUGCAUAAAAUUUACUCUGACCUGUUUACUUUUAUAGUCUGUGUUUACUUUGUUUCUUUUAAUAUUAUGCAUGUUUAGGCUAUGCUUUUUCUUUAAAUAUGUGAGCAAAUCUAUUGGUGUAAUGUACUCAUUACCCUAAAACCUAUAUUAUAAUGGACCUGAAGACAUUAAGGCAGAAGAUCAGAAGAAAAAGAAAAUGCAUACAUUUUUAUCUUUAAAACAAUUCACUUUUAAGAUUAUUUUCCUGAAAGGUAUACCUUUGAUGGAGCUGAAUCUAUUUCCUUCAGGCAGAUACAAUAGGAUACAAUAGGAUAGGACUUCUUGGGUAAAAAAGGUGUAGUAAUCUGUGAGACUCACCGGAAGGAGAAAGGCAAUUAUUCAUUAAUUUGGCUGAGGCCAGGGUAGUAAGCAGAUUCAUUAUAAAUUCUGGCAGCAGAGGAAUACUUGAGAACUGCUUAUAAAGUUAGAUCAUCUAUUUUUCCAAGCAAUAUUCUUCAUGUCAUUCCACCUUGCAAAAACUUUGUGGAAAAGAAUAAGCAUAUGAAGAGCAAUGAAUAGACUUUGCAUUAGAUUGGUAAUCUUGCUACUAGUACCUUAAUUUACUUGUAUUACUGAUAUUUUAAGAUAGGAUUUUUAUAGAUGUUUAUAUAUUUUUAAAAAGCCUAUUUUUUUCUUUACCUUUUUUCUCAAUUUUUUUUAACCUCGAAAACUUUUUCCUCCCUGAGAGAAAUACAUGGGCUAUCUUCAGCAUGGAACACAAACUCUGCCUUCUUUUCUCAAGUCCGGUGAUUCAAGUUUGACACACCACACCCCGGUGGAUGUGCCUUGUCAUGACGCAUCUUCUCAGCAGCACUAGAAGAUACAUCCAAAGUCCUGUGAGCAAGGUCUGUGGUAUCUGUUUAUUAUGGCAGCCCAGUAAGACUAAGACAGGCCAUCACAAGACGUGAACGUUUUGGACCUUCUGUUGGGCCCUAGUAAACAGAAAUCAGGAAGAUCUGGCAAGAGUUAGCGUGCAGUUCUACAUUGUGACAAUCCAUGAGAGAUAAGGACUGGCUGUCUCUUGGGACAAAUAGGCUUUCUUGAGUCUGGUAAGUGCUCCACCUGAUGCUUGCUUCCAUUUCUUAGAUUAGGUUCUACUGUGGUAAGGCCUCAAAAUCUCAGUGUCUUGCAGCAACACUGGUUCAUUUCCUGCUCACAUUACAUUUGGUCUAUGACGGUGACAAGUUCCAGGAUCCAGACUGAAGGAGCCACCCCCAUUUGGAAUAUGCUGUUCUUGUUGCAAACUGGGGGAAAAAGGCCAAAUAAGGAAUGGCUUUUAAUGCUUCCUCUCAGACAUGGUAUGUGUUAUUUCUUUUUCUCACGUUCUAUUAGCCAAAGUAAAUCAGUGGCCAAGCUGACCUCAA